GUUGGACUAAAUGCAUUUUGCAUUAUAAUAUUGUUACAAGCUUAUGGAGGCCAGAGAGUGGAAUGUGGUAGUUUGAAUGCCAUUGGCCCGAAUAAUUUCACAGGGAGUGGCACUUUUAGGAGGUGUGGCUUUGUUGGAGUAGGUGUGGCCUUGUUGGAGGAAGUUGUCACUGUAAGGGUGGAUUUUGAGGUUUCCUAUGUUCAGGAUACCACCCAGUGGUCAGUUGACUUCCUGUUGCCUGCAUGAUGUAGCACUCUCAGCUCCAGCACCAUGUCUGCCUGCACGCUGCCAUGCUCCCCAUCAUGAUGAUAACGUACUGAACCUCUGAAACUGCAAAGCAAGACUGAGCAGCAUCACUGUGGUCUCCGGUGCUGGCUCUCUUCAGCCCUGACUGCCCACUGCAUCGGUGUGAAAAGCUGAGGUACAAGUUUAAUAAGUACUUGUACCAAGGCACGGGCAUCUGUCGUGCUGGAAACGUCCCAGUUCAUUCUGCUGCGACUUUGGAUGAGAAAACUAUGGUCAGAAAAAUGAAGGAACUUCUCCAGAUCACUCAGCUAGAACGUGGCGGGCAGUGUUCAAAGCCUGGUUGUGCACAACCACAGCAAUCCUGAUCUUCCGCGAGCAGUGCCAGAACUCAUGAAAACAGUGACCUAGGAGCCGCACAGUGGAACGCUCCCCUCCACCAAGAAGGCAGGUGCAUCCUCCUCCCAUUAAGGAGGAAAGCAAGACGCCCAAGGGAAGCUGGAGGGGAGGUUCAGGCAAGUAACAGACUUGGAAUCCAGGUGGCUACAAAGCACAAAAGCUGACCACCUCUCGCUAUGGUGAUGGGGAGUCACACCCUCCAAGCGCGGUGGGCGCGGCCAACAUCGUACCCACCGCCUACAGAACCACCAGAGGAUGCACAAGGCACGGCUGACGAAGCAGACCCCAUCAGGAGGCAGAGGCAAGCGGAUCUCUUGAGCUUGAAGCCAGUCUGGUUUACAUUGUGAGUUCCAGGCCAGCCAAGGUUACAUGUGAGACCCUGUCCGAAUAAAACACAAAACAAGAACAUGGAAGACACGAGUGUGUGGGUACCACGGGAUGCAGAAGAGGAUGUGGAUUCCUUGGAGCUGGAGUUACAGCCAGUGGAGAGCCAACAGAUGGGGGUGCUGGGAACCAAACUCAAACCCCCUGCAAGAACAGGAAGCCCUGUUGAGUGCUGAGCCAUGGAUCCAGGCCUCUACUUUGUUUCGUUUUGUUUUUGGAAAACACGUCACUCUGAAGCAUACGCACACGUAAAUAAACUAGGCAUAGACUUCAGAAAGGAUCUUAGGCAUCGCCCUUCCUGUCCAAAGAGAGUAAAGACUUUAUGGAGGAGCCCUUUUCACAUAGAGACAGUACAUUGGGCUAAAUCCUUGAAGAGAGCCUCGGUUCCGUGCGUACAGCUGUUCAUUACCUGAAUCCUGUCUCUAGAAUGCCCCGAUUUCCUUGAGCAGCCCCUUCCUGAACGGAGGGGCAGUGGGGUCUUAGGUGAUUUUACUGGAGUUACCGGACCGGUUUGGUGGCUACCUGCUCAUAAAGGUUUGCAUUGUGGAUAUCUAUCUGUAUGGGCCUCGGAAUAUGUGUUGAGAUCUCUCUUCAUGAUAACUUGGCAGAGACAUGUAGAGGAAAGCUACCCUUGUCGGUAAUGGCUGCGACGAUGGAAGGAGAGGAACCUCGGAUUUCUGCAAAGCUGAUGGCCCUGGGUAAAGCUCCUGCUAUGCAGCUGGACUCAUGACUCUGCCUGUGUUUCCCCAUCUGUGAAGCCACGAGGCUGGACUGUUUCUAUCCAGCUCUGGCUUCUUAGUAGAUCAGUCAGUCAGCGAAUGUGUAUACUGCUUUGAGUCCGGGGCUCUAAGGAAAAGUUCCAAAGUGUAGACAGUCUAUCCUAUUGAGGAGUGGGGAAUGUAGGGACAUGCAGCACAGGAACACACACACACACACACACACACACACACACACACACACACACACACGAGUGCAAAAGCACAGAAAAGGUUAACUUCAGAUGCAGGUGUAUGCUAAUGAUAUAACGAGCCGCCCAGAGGAAGGCGCAGCAGGUACAAGGGCCGACACGCAAGCUUCCUGGAGAGCCCAAGGGGGCGGGGCCAGUGCCUAGGAAGGAAUUCUUGUAUCUUGUUUAACUUUGCAAAUGACAGCAACUUCUGCCUAGCGGUGGAAGGCGAACCAAACCAAAGAGGUUCCGUUUUUUUCCCCAUCAUGGUGCAGGCCUCUAGUAAGGUUCAUGUGGGGAAGGGACGAGUACUCUAACCUGUAGUUUAGAAGACCGCUGUGAAGG